GCGGCGGACGGGUGAGUAACGCGUGGGAACGUGCCCUAUGGUGCGGAACAACUGAGGGAAACUUCAGCUAAUACCGCAUGAGCGCUACGGCGGAAAGAUUUAUCGCCAUAGGAGCGGCCCGCGUUGGAUUAGCUAGUUGGUGGGGUAAUGGCUCACCAAGGCUACGAUCCAUAGCUGGUCUGAGAGGAUGAUCAGCCACACUGGGACUGAGACACGGCCCAGACUCCUACGGGAGGCAGCAGUAAGGAAUCUUGCGCAAUGGGCGAAAGCCUGACGCAGCCAUGCCGCGUGAAUGAUGAAGGUCUUAGGAUUGUAAAAUUCUUUCACCGGGGACGAUAAUGACGGUACCCGGAGAAGAAGCUCCGGCUAACUUCGUGCCAGCAGCCGCGGUAAUACGAAGGGGGCUAGCGUUGCUCGGAAUUACUGGGCGUAAAGGGCGCGUAGGCGGACAGUUUAGUCUUAGGUGAAAGCCCAGGGCUCAACCUUGGAAUACCCUUUGAUACUGGCUGUCUUGAGUGCGGGAGAGGUGUGUGGAACUCCGAGUGUAGAGGUGAAAUUCGUAGAUAUUCGGAAGAACACCAGUGGCGAAGGCGACACACUGGNCCGUUACUGACGCUGAGGC
rnacentral:rRNA from 1 species